GACGAACGCUGGCGGCGUGCCUAAUACAUGCAAGUCGAACGAGAGCGACCGGUGCUUGCCCUGGGCACUCUAGUGGCGAACGGGUGAGUAACACGUGGGUAACCUGCCCAUUAGAGGGGGAUAACCUUCGGAAACGGAUGCUAAAACCGCAUAGGUCUUCGAACCGCAUGGUCUGAAGAGGAAAAGAGGCGCAAUCUUCUGCUGAUGGAUGGCCCCGCAGUGCCUUAGCUAGUUGGUGAGGUAACGGCCCACCAAGGCCGUGAUGCAUAGCCGACCUGAGGGGGUGAGCGGCCGGAUUGGUACUGACACACGGCCCAAACUCCUACGGGAGGCAGCAAGCGGGAGUCUACAGCGAUGAAUGGAAGUCAGACGGAUCAACGGCGGGUGAGUGAAGAAGGUCUUCGGAUGGUUUGACUCUGUCGUUAGUGAGGAACGAGUGCUAAAGUUACUGGUAUGUGCUGAACGGUAUCUAGUCAAGAAGCCACGGCUAACUACGUG
rnacentral:rRNA from 1 species